GGCCUGGAAUAACACGAGGAAACUUGUGCUAAUACCGGAUAAGUCUUUACGGAGAAAGCUUUAUGCACCAUUGGAUGAGCCUGCACUUGAUUAGUUUGUUGGUGGGGUAAUGGCCUACCAAGACUGUGAUCAAUAGCUGAUUUGAGAGGAUGAUCAGCCACAUUGGGACUGAGACACGGCCCAAACUCCUACGGGAGGCAGCAGUGGGGAAUCUUGCACAAUGGAGGAAACUCUGAUGCAGCGAUGCCGCGUGAGUGAAGAAGGCCCUUGGGUUGUAAAGCUCUUUCGUCGGGGAAGAAAAUGACUGUACCCGAAUAAGAAGGUCCGGCUAACUUCGUGCCAGCAGCCGCGGUAAUACGAAGGGACCUAGCGUAGUUCGGAAUUACUGGGCUUAAAGAGUUCGUAGGUGGUUGAAAAAGUUAGUGGUGAAAUCCCAGAGCUUAACUCUGGAACUGCCAUUAAAACUUUUCAGCUAGAGUAUGAUAGAGGAAAGCAGAAUUUCUAGUGUAGAGGUGAAAUUCGUAGAUAUUAGAAAGAAUACCAAUUGCGAAGGCAGCUUUCUGGAUCAUUACUGACACUGAGGAACGAAAGCAUGGGUAGCGAAGAGGAUUAGAUACCCUCGUAGUCCAUGCCGUAAACGAUGUGUGUUAGACGUUGGAAAUUUAUUUUCAGUGUCGCAGGGAAACCGAUAAACACACCGCCUGGGGAGUACGACCGCAAGGUUAAAACUCAAAUGAAUUGACGGGGACCCGCACAAGUAGUGGAGCAUGUGGUUUAAUUCGAAGAUACGCGCAGAACCUUACCAACACUUGACAUGUUCGUCGCGACUCUAAGAGAUUAGAGUUUUCGGUUCGGCCGGACGAAACACAGGUGCUGCAUGGCUGUCGUCAGCUCGUGUCGUGAGAUGUUGGGUUAAGUCCCGCAACGAGCGCAACCCUCACUUUUAGUUGCCAUCAUUAAGUUGGGCACUCUGAAAGAACUGCCAGUGAUAAGCUGGAGGAAGGUGGGGAUGACGUCAAGUCCUCAUGGCCCUUACGUGUUGGGCUACACACGUGCUACAAUGGUAUCUACAACAGGAAGCAAGACUGCGAAGUUAAGCAAAUCCCUAAAAGAUACCUCAGUUCGGAUUGCACUCUGCAACUCGAGUGCAUGAAGCUGGAAUUACUAGUAAUCGUGGAUCAGCGUGCCACGGUGAAUGCGUUCCCGGGUCUUGUACACACCGCCCGUCACACCAUGGGAGUUGGUUCUACCUUAAGGCAAGGUUUCAAACCCUUGACCACGGUAUAGUCAGCGACUGGGGUGAAGUCAUAACAAGGUAGCCGUA
rnacentral:rRNA from 1 species